rnacentral:lncRNA from 1 species
AAUUCUUAAAAAACUUGUGAAGCUGGUUUCUCCCCCCUUUCUUCGCAUGUUAGGACAGAAACAAAAUGACAAUAGGUCCCAUAUUAAAGCAGCCUCUCUCGCCAACUUCUUCACAAUCAAACAAGAGAAAUUUGGCAUCUUGCACCAAUUUCUCUCAUCUCUCUAACAAAGUUUAUGUGAGUCAAAAUCGUCGGCAAGAUAGUGUUUCUAUUUUUGGAAAUUAAGUGGAAACUAAGUAUUUUUGGAAGAAAAAGACCUGACUUUUCAACGCUCCCUACCUAGUUUUCAGAAAGUUAUCUUUACAAAUAAUCUAAACUCGUUGCUGAUAUUCACAAAUAAGAAAGCUUGAAAGAUGUCUCACUUAAUAUCAGUGCUAGUUUUGUUGCUAGCAAUUAUCACUCUUACUAGCGCAGCAAGAAAUAUUAAUCCCAAAUAUGAGUCUGCACGAUCCAAUGGAUUUAUCAGUUACCAGCCCCCAACGACUGAUACACAAAAACUGGUUGGUCUCAAUCACAGGCGACGUAGACAUUUAGCACCGCCGCCUCCUCCUAAGAAGCCUCCACCAAUUCACGUCCCAGGAACACCACAACGACAGCCUCAUCAACACCCGAUACGCCCACCUCCUAAAAUGUAAGAAUUAAGAACUCACUAUUUGAGGAGGCUAAGUUCGUCCAAUAAACUAUUCCCUCCGGUUAUAAUUUAUAAGAAAAAAAAUUUGUUUUUGAGAUUCAUUAAAUACUUAAUAUAUAUUAAAUACAUUAAAUAUUCAAUGAAUUCAAAAAAUAGUUUUUUUCUCUUAUAAAUAUGACCCAAGGAAAUCAAGUUAAUAUCAUUUUUCAUAGUAUAUUUUAUAUCUUUCUUGUAAUUUUGAUUUAUAUGUUUCUAUUAUCUUUUAGUGUGCUUAAGAUUUUACCAUAUGGAUAAUAAUGAUUUAUUCAUAAUAUUAUUUGAGAAGUGUAUUGUUCAUUAAGGAAAAGAACAAAAAUGAAUGAGGAAAUGUCGUUAAUUGUAUUUGAUAGUUUUUCUAAUGUUUUUUUUUUUUUGACAAAAGUUUUGCUAAUGUUUAUUUUCUUAGUUUAGCAUCUUUAAUUUUCAUAGUUCCAUAUAUUUAGUUUAUUUGGAGCCUAUCAACGAUAUUCCGGUUUAAAUCUUGAUGAUAAUGUCUAACCUAAUAAUAUUUGAUAUUUAUCGGUUUAGAUAUGUCUUGCAAACAAAACACAACCGAUUAUAUCAUACUUAUAUUUAUAAAUAACAAAUUUUAUACCCGUCAAUAACGUUGAGACUACCCUCAUUUACACACAUUUAUCUUAUUGUCAUGAUGGAACAUUCAUAUAAUGUUGGAAGAAAAAUUGGAAGAUUAAACACCAAAUAUUAUACUUUGAUCUAAUGUUGUGUACAUUGAAAAAAUAGUGUGGAGGUUCCACAUAAAAUAGAACACACACAUUAGUAGUGUUUAAAUUACGGUAUUUAAUUUUAAAUAUUUGAUAAUGAUAAAAAUAAUAGUAAUUAUUAUUUUUAUUCAAGUACUAUUAAGAUCAUAGUUCCUUUUUGGAAUAAUAAUGUCCCGUCGAAAUUAAGAAUGAUCUUAAAUGUAUAUAAACAUUCUUUCAAAAAAUUUCUAAUUGAGGAGAAAUUAAAAAGUGGAAAUAGUGGUAUCAGCAUAUUUGAGUGGUCGUAGUGCCAUAUUGAUAUUUUGGAGAAUUAAAGUUAAAAUGGUGGUAACACCAUAUUUGAGUGGUCUCAGCACCAUAAGAGAGUGGUAACAAUACCAUAUUAAAGUGGUUUCAACAUUAAAGAGUGGUCUUACUAUCAUAUUGAAGGUGUAAUUCUCGAACGGUUUUCUACACUGCAAUAGUUAAUCGAACAGUUCUAACCGGGCUUGUUUUAUAUCCUGCAGACGGCGUGGUUAAUAGUCUGUCUUGAACAAUUUUGAGCAGUGUCAUGAAAUGUUUUAUAGAGAGCGACCUGAUCGUGACUCAACCUAGUAACCAGUGGCGGAGCCCUAUCAACGAUUAUAGGUCUAUUUUGCGAGAUUUUAUGCAAUUUUGUGUCAGUUUUAUGUUUUGGUUGAUCCAAAUUCUUGCAAAGUGGUGUAGUGGCCCACCCGAAAAUUUAAAUGAUUCAAUUAUAGGUCUAUUUUGUGAGAUUUUAUACAAUUUUAUGUCGGUUUUAGGUUUCGGUUGAUCCAAAUUCCCGCAAAUUGGUGUAGUGGCCCACCCGAAAAAUUUAAAUAAUUCAAUUAUGAGUCUAAUUUGCGAGACUUUAAACAAUUUUUCAAUAGUUAAUUUUAGUGGCCCACCCUGACAUUUUUUUCUGGCUGGCUCCGCCACUAGUAACAACUUCGAUAGAUAAUAUAAUUUAGAAAUUCAAAUAAAACAGUUUGAAAAUCCAAUUGUCAUGCAAAUUUACUAUUUAGCAAUGUACUGGUUUAUGUCAAACCACUGUCAAUUGAAUUACUCCAAUUUAGCCAAACUCCAAUAUAUAUUUAGCAAUGUACUGAUUUGUUGUUAAUUAGAAAUUUUUAAUGACUUAAUAGAUUUAAAAUCUUUGUGAGCAACAAAUUACAAGCAUUGUUUUAAAUAUAUAAAUCUUUCAAAUGAUGCAUCUAUGCCACUAUUUCUUUAAAUUAGAGUUUGUACUUUGUACACCUGCUGUUGUUUUGUGAAUUUCUAUUUGUUCUCAUGCCUUCCAUAUUGAAAUGAAGAUAUAGAAGAAAAAAUAUGCUGAAACUAGCUAAUUUUCGCAGACUAAACACUAUUAAAUUAGUCUCCAACUUUUUGUGAUGUUCUCAAAAAGUGCCUUCCAUACUAAUAUGAAGAUAUGGAAAGAAUAAUUCAAAAAGAUUAGUCAAUUUCUUUUUGUGUUAACUCUUCGAUUUUUAGGAAAAGAGAUUAUAGUAAUCUCGAGUACAUCUGUAAGGUAAGUAAAAUUUGAGCUAUAAUUGUUUCACUCAUUAAAUAAACUCAUAUGUCAUAAACAAUAUGUUCUUUAAUGAAAUUUAUUAACCACUCAAGUGUGAUUGCUUGUUUAAGAUUAGUCAAUUUACUCUUAUUAGUUCUUCAAAGAGUAUGUUAGGGACUAAUUUGAAUUUUUUUUUUAUCGCAAGGGACUAAUUCGAUUGAAAGUGGAUAAAUUUAGAGAUCAAACUAGUAAAUGAUUAAAUACAAACCCACUUGGGUUGACCUAGUGGUAUUGGUUUGGGACCUUAGAGUGUGCUCCUUCUCAAGGCUCAUGUUCGAUUCUCUUUGGUGCUAAUUUAGGUGGGUUAAUUUAAUUUCUUAAAUAAAAAGUGAUUAAAUACAAAAAGAACUUGAUAGUUUAAUAGAGUUAGAAAUAAUUUUGGUAUACUCAUAAUUUCAUAAACCAAUCCGAGAAUGUUAUACAAAAUCAUAGUCUAAUUUUAUGAUACCUCUAUUUCUUUUUGGUAAAUAGAGAUAACUUUCAUUAACCAACACAAUUAUUAUAAACCACAUGGAAUUAGGAAACAACUAAACAAAGAAACAAGAGUUAAGCUCAAACAAACAAAAAGAACCAUUAGCUUCGCACCCGAAUCAUCAGAGUUUGCACCUUCUUGAAUUGCAAUCCUAUAAUGUAAGCAUCCAUCUUGAUUUGGUUAAGGGGUUGUUGAACAGAUCGGUAACAAUUCUGAAAUCUUCUAUCAUUCCUCUCCUUCCAGAUCAUAUAGAGGGUCACACUCAACACCAUUCUAUGAGUUUGAUGCAUGUCAUUGUUACUGUUACAAUGAGACUGGAUAUAUUGCAAAAUAGAUUGCCAAUUGCUUAUAUUGACACUCAUAUUCAUCCAUCUCAUAGCACCUUUCUAAACAACAUCAUCAUAUUCACAAGAAAAAAAAAGGUGAGAAUGAGUUUCAUUCUCCUUUGUACACAAAAUGCAAACCUGGUCACAUUGGAUACCUACUUUAAGCAUCCUCUCACAUCUCCGAUGUUUUUACAAAACAACAUCCUAAUUCCAAACACAUAAAAAAAAAAAAAAAGGUUAAUAGAGCUUUACCCCCUGUAAUAUAGGGCACUUUUGGUUUCCCCCCUGUAAAGUAUUUUUUUUUAGAUUCUGUCCUUGUAAAAUAAGGAUUCUUCAAGAUUGCCGCUUGAGCCCUGUGACUCAACAGAGUCUAUGAUGUGACAUUUUAUUUUAUUUUUCAAUUUUUUUGGAUGCCACGUGCAAAAAAGAAUUUACAUGUCAUUUAUAAUUAAAAAAGUAAAAAAAUAUAUUUUUUUUUAAAAACGAAAAAUCUUUUUUUAAUUAUUUUUUAAAAAGCUCAAAUUAUUUUAAAAAUCAGAAAAAAAUACUAAUUAUUUUCAAAAAAUUGAAAAAAAAAUCAAUUUUUUUUUCAAAAAUUAAAAAAAUUGAAAAUUUUAUUUUGAAAAUGAAAUUCCAGAUUUUUUUUUAUUUUAGCUCAAAAAAAUGACAUGGAAAAUGUAUUUUACAUGUGGCAUUAAAAAAAAUUGAAAAAAAAAAUGCCACGUUAGUGACACAUCAAAGAUUCUGCUGAGUCACAGUGCAUAGGUGACAAUCUUGAAGAAUCUUUAUUUUACAAGGACGGAAUCUAAAAAAAUAAAAUUACAAGGGGGAAAAUCAAAAGUGCUCUAUAUUACAGGGGUUAAAGCCCUAUAAACCCUAAAAAAAUAUUCGGUUUUUUGCGGUUUUUAAUUUUUUUUGGAUUAGUUUACGGUUUUUUUAUCGGUUUGAAUUUGAACACCCCUAAAACCAUCUCCAAUGGGAGAUCUUCAACAUUUAAGACCCGAUAUCUAUUAGGUACCCCCAUUUGGGAGAAAAAAUUUCAAGGUCUUAUAAGACCAUGGGGGGUCUCACUUAAGACCCUCAAUCUUAAGCGGGACCCACUCUAUUUUAAUAUUAAAAAAUUGAAAUAUAAUGAUAUAAAGUUAUUGAUAGUUGCUUAUCGUGGCUCAUUUAAGUAAUUUGUAUGAGAUGCUGGGUUGGAAGGAUUGAGUACUUAUUAGAUACUUCCUCCGUUUCAAAAUACUUGUCCAUUUUGAAGAAAUUACACAUACCAAUGAAUCAAAUAAAUGUUGUCAUUUUUUAUGAAAUUCUUUGUGUCUUUUUCUAUAAUACCCUGCUCAUUUAUUAUUUCAUUCAAUUAUUUCUCUCUCAACAAUAAAUAGGUAAGGGUAAUAUUGAUAAACCAAUAAUUAAUGUUGCAUUGAAACUUCAAAGUGACAAGUAAAAUGAAACAAAAUAAUUCUCCAAAAUGGACAAGUAUUGUGAAAUGGAGGGAGUACUACUCUUAAAUAAUUAUAAAUAAGUGAUGUAUCCGUAAGACUCAUUUAAAUAUUUAAAAAUGAAUAUCUCCAUUAUAGAUGCUGUAAUAAAGAAUAUAACUUUUUAUUAAAAAAUUUUGUAAUUAUUACAUCAACAAAAAUAACAAUUUUUUUUUUGAAGAAACAAAAAUAACAACUUGUUUUAUAAAAAAAGUAAAAACUUAUUUCAAAGACAUACUGUCAUUUAAUACAAUUCUUUUUUCUUUUUUGACCAAACAUUUAAUACAAUUCUUAAAAAACUUGUGAAGCUGGUUUCUUAAGAAACAAAAUGACUAUACGGCCCAUGUUAAAGCAACCUCUCUCGCCAACUUCUUCACAAUCAAACAAGAGAAAUUUGGCAUCUUGAUCUCACCAAUAAUUCUCUCAUCUCUCUUUCACUGAAAAGUCUAACAAGGUUUAUGUGGGUCAAAAUCGUCGACAAGAUAGUUUUUCUUGUUGGGAAGUUAAGUGGAAAUGAAGUAUUUUUUGGAAGAAAAAGACCAAACUUUUCUACGCUCCCUACAUAGUUUUGAGAAAUUGUUAUCAUUACAAAUAACCUAAACUCGUUGCUGAUAUUCACAAAUAAGAAAGCUUGAAAGAUGUCUUACUUAAUAUCCAUGCUAGUUUUGUUGCUAGCAAUUAUCACUCUUACAACCGUAGCAGGAAAUAUUAAUCCCAAAUAUGAGUCUGCACGAUCCAAUGGAUUCAUCAGUUACCAGCCCCCAACAACUGAUACACAAAAACUGGUUGGUCUCGAUUACAGGCGACGUAGACAUGCACCACCGCCGCCACCUCAAUAUCGUCCCAGAAUUAACUACCCAGGAACACCACACCAACAGCCUCAUCGACACCAGUUACGCCCACCUCCUAAAAUGUAAGAAUUAAGAACUCACCAUUUGAGGAGGCUAAGUUGGUCCAAUAAACUACUCUCUCCUGUUAUGUUUAAAAAAAAAAAAAAAAGUUUUUUUUAGAUUCAUUGAAUACUUGAUACAUAUUAUAAACCAAAUAUAUUAAGUAUUCAAUAAAUCUAACAAUCAGUUUUUUUUAGUUUAUAAAUGUAACUGAAGGACAAUUAACAUCAUCGUUGAUAGUAUAUUUUAUGUCUUUCACUAAAAAAAGUAUAUUUUAUGUCUUAGUUGUUAUUUUGAUUUAUAUAUUUUCUGUACUUUUUAGUGUGCUUAAGAUUUUACCAUAUGGAUAAUAAUGAUUUAUCCAGAAUAUUAUAUAAUAAGUGUAUUAAUUGUUCAUUAAGGAAAAGAACAAAAAUAAAUGUGGAAACGUCUUUAAUUGUAUUUGAUAGUUUUUUUUUAUUGUUUAUUUUAUCUUUAAUUUUCUUAGUUCCAUAUUUUUAAUUUAUUUGGAGCCUGUCAACGAUAUUCCGGGUUGGAAUCCAG